AGACCUAAGUAACAGAUAACCUAGACGACAAAAGAGGAGACCUAGGUCACAGAUAACCUAGAGCAGGACUUCUCAACCUGUGGGUUGCGACCCCCUUGGGGGUCGAUUAACGAUUUGCCAGGGAUCGCCUAAGACCAUCGAAAAUAUGGAUUGUUAUUGUCUCUUCUUCUAUUGCUGUAUGUGUGUGUGUGGGCGGAUCACGUCAGAGUGGGGGAUUGUAAAAAGGGUUGCCAAGCUUAAAAGCUUGAGAACCGCUUACCUAGAGGGAAAGGACAAGAGAGGAGACCUAGGUAACAGAUAACCUAGAGGGAAAGGACAAGAGAGGAGACCUAGGUAACAGAUAAAUUAGAGGGAAAGGACAAGAGAGGAGACCUAGGUCACAGAUAAAUUAGAGGGAAAGGACAAGAGAGGAGACCUAGGUAACAGAUAAAUUAGAGGGAAAGGACAAGAGAGGAGACCUAGGUAACAGAUAAAUUAGAGGGAAAGGACAUGAGAGGAGACCUAGGUAACAGAUAAAUUAGAGGGAAAGGACAAGAGAGGAGACCUAUGUCACAGAUAAAUUAGAGGGAAAGGACAAGAGAGGAGACCUAGGUCACAGAUAAAUUAGAGGGAAAGGACAAGAGAGGAGACCUAGGUAACAGAUAAAUUAGAGGGAAAGGACAAGAGAGGAGACCUAAGUCACAGAUAAAUUAGAGGGAAAGGACAAGAGAGGAGACCUAGGUAACAGAUAAAUUAGAGGGAAAGGACAAGAGAGGAGACCUAGGUAACAGAUAAAUUAGAGGGAAAGGACAUGAGAGGAGACCUAGGUAACAGAUAAAUUAGAGGGAAAGGACAAGAGAGGAGACCUAGGUAACAGAUAAAUUAGAGGUAAAGGACAUGAGAGGAGACCUAGGUAACAGAUAAAUUAGAGGGAAAGGACAAGAGAGGAGACCUAGGUCACAGAUAACCUAGAGGGAAAGGACAAGAGAGGAGACCUAGGUAACAGAUAAAUUAGAGGGAAAGGACAAGAGAGGAGACCUAGGUCACAGAUAAAUUAGAGGGAAAGGACAAGAGAGGAGACCUAGGUAACAGAUAAAUUAGAGGGAAAGGACAAGAGAGGAGACCUAGGUCACAGAUAAAUUAGAGGGAAAGGACAAGAGAGGAGACCUAGGUCACAGAUAAAUUAGAGGGAAAGGACAAGAGAGGAGACCUAGGUCACAGAUAAAUUAGAGGGAAA